UGAUACUUAGAAGUUCUUAAUGUUCUGUUACAAAAGCAGCCAUGUUUGAACACGAUGUUCAAACAAGUCGCCACUGAGCCAUGGAUGGCGAAUUGGCGACGGUGGCGUAUGAUGAGAAUAGAUAAAACAGAACAUUUAGAACUUCUUAGUGUC
rnacentral:ncRNA from 1 species